UACGUAGGGUGCGAGCGUUGCCCGGAUUUAUUGGGCGUAAAGGGCGCGUAGGCGGCCACGCACGUCCGUUGUGAAAUCGCCCGGCUCAACUGGGCGGGGUCAGCGGAUACGGUGUGGCUCGAGCAAGCUAGGGGGCAAUGGAAUUCCCGGUGUAGUGGUGGAAUGCGUAGAUAUCGGGAGGAACACCAGUGGCGAAGGCGGCUACCUGGACCGGUUCUGACGCUGAUGCGCGAAAGCGUGGGUAGCAAACAGG
rnacentral:rRNA from 1 species